UACGAAGGGGGCUAGCGUUGUUCGGAAUUACUGGGCGUAAAGCGCGCGCAGGCGGUCUUCCAAGUCAGUGGUGAAAGCCCGGAGCUCAACUCCGGAAUUGCCAUUGAAACUGUUAGACUUGAGGAUGAGAGAGGUGAGUGGAAUUCCGAGUGUAGAGGUGAAAUUCGUAGAUAUUCGGAAGAACACCAGUGGCGAAGGCGACUCACUGGACACAUAUUGACGCUGAGGUGCGAAAGCGUGGGGAGCAAACAGG
rnacentral:rRNA from 1 species